rnacentral:misc_RNA from 1 species
CCCCUAGUUCUCCUUCAUGAUUAAAGAACUUGUCCGUGGAGUAUCUCAAAUAGCAGCCAGCAUUCAUCCCUAUGCCUUCCUUGCUUGGCAAGCACCCUUUAACCUCCUUUACUGCCUUCUCCAAACACUCCAGACACCCAUUUUUCCCGACACUCUCCCAACACUGAGCCAAAGCAUAAACACCAUCAAUCCCCGUCACAGCGAACUUCCCCACAGCUUUACUAGUCACAUUAGCAACCGCAUACCCAACACUCGAAUCAAACUUCAACUUCCCAUUCUCAUCACCAGAACCAG